UGGGGAAUAUUGCACAAUGGAGGGAACUCUGAUGCAGCAACGCCGCGUGAAGGAAGAAGGGAUUCGUCUCGUAAACUUCUAUCGACAGGGAAGAAAGAAAUGACGGUACCUGAAUAAGAAGCCCCGGCUAACUAUGUGCCAGCAGCCGCGGUAAUACAUAGGGGGCAAGCGUUAUCCGGAAUGACUGGGUGUAAAGGGUGAGUAGGCGGUAGGAUAAGCCAUAUGUGAAAGCCCGGGGCUCAACCCCGGGACUGCAUAAGGAACUGUUCAACUAGAGUACAGGAGAGGUAAGCGGAAUUCCUAGUGUAGCGGUGAAAUGCGUAGAUAUUAGGAGGAACACCAGUGGCGAAGGCGGCUUACUGGACUGGUUACUGACGCUGAGUCACGAAAGCGUGGGGAGCAAACA
rnacentral:rRNA from 1 species